UAUAAUGUCUUAUAAAACCUGCGUGAUCCAACUACAAAGUAUUCGUUUCUUGGGUUCUAAAAUUAAUAAAUGCUAAAUAAAGAUAAUUGUUGGCCAAGCUGCCAACAUCACGUGUUCGUGAUCAUGGGUAUAGAUAGGGCACAGACAAAUCAGGCAGACCAGAUAUGUCUAAUUAGAAUUACUGUUCGUCAAAACUAAAUUUACAUAUUAACCUGUCUCUCAAAAAAUAAAAGAUAACUGCAGUUUGGUUUGUCGUCAUGUUAUUUGUAGUUUGCUUAUAGAACCACAUAUACACUCAGGAU
rnacentral:lncRNA from 1 species